UUUCCGUAGGUGAACCUGCGGAAGGAUCAUUCGUAAUAAAGUGUUUUAUGGCACUUUUUAAAAAUCCAUAUCCACCUUGUGUGCAAUGUUAGAUCUCGUCAAUCUUGGCGAGAUUUUUAUACAUCAACUCAUUCUUUAACUAAUUUGUCUGAAAAAUAUUAUGAAUACUUAAUUCAAAAUACAACUCUCAACAACGGAUCUCUUGGCUCUC
rnacentral:misc_RNA from 1 species